rnacentral:rRNA from 1 species
CGCGGGUGAGUAACACGUAUCCAACCUGCCGUCUACUCUUGGACAGCCUUCUGAAAGGAAGAUUAAUACAAGAUGGCAUCAUGAGUCCACAUGUUCACAUGAUUAAAGGUAUUCCGGUAGACGAUGGGGAUGCGUUCCAUUAGAUAGUAGGCGGGGUAACGGCCCACCUAGUCUUCGAUGGAUAGGGGUUCUGAGAGGAAGGUCCCCCACAUUGGAACUGAGACACGGUCCAA